GACGAACGCUGGCGGCGUGCUUAACACAUGCAAGUCGAGCGGUAAGGCCCUUUCGGGGGUACACGAGCGGCGAACGGGUGAGUAACACGUGGGUGACCUGCCCUCAGCUCUGGGAUAAGCCUGGGAAACCGGGUCUAAUACUGGAUAUGACUCCAUGACGCAUGUUGUGGGUGAAAGCCUUGUGCGGCUGAGGAUGGGCCCGCGGCCUAUCAGCUUGUUGGGUGGGGGAUGGCCUACCAAGGCGACGACGGGUAGCCGGCCUGAGAGGGCGACCGGCCACACUGGACUGAGACACGGCCCAGACUCCGUACGGGAGGCAGCAGUGGGGAAUCUU
rnacentral:rRNA from 1 species